rnacentral:rRNA from 1 species
UACGGGGGGUGCUAGCGUUGUUCGGAAUCACUGGGCGUAAAGGGCGUGUAGGCGGUCUGUUAAGUCUGAUGUGAAAUCCCCUCGCUCAACGAGGGAACUGCGUCGGAUACUGGGAGGCUUGAAUCCGGGAGAGGGAUGUGGAAUUCCAGGUGUAGCGGUGAAAUGCGUAGAUAUCAGGAGGAACACCUGUGGUGUAGGCAGCUUACUGGACCAUUUCUGACGCUGAGACACGAAAGCGUGGGUAGCAAACAGG